UACAGAGGUCUCAAGCGUUGUUCGGAUUCAUUGGGCGUAAAGGGCGCGUAGGCGGCGGGUAAGUCGGGUGUGAAAUCUCAGAGCUCAACUCUGAAACUGCACUCGAUACUGCUUUGCUAGAGGACUGGAGAGGAGAUUGGAAUUCACGGUGUAGCAGUGAAAUUCGUAGAUAUCGAGAGGAACACCGGUGGCGAAGGCGGCCUUCUGGACAGUGACUGACGCUGAGACGCGAAAGCGUGGGA
rnacentral:rRNA from 1 species